rnacentral:lncRNA from 10 species
UUUCAAGUUUUUUAUAUACUGAUAUAAAAUAUUCCAGAAUAUCAGUAUAGCUUCUUUUAACUUUAUUAGCUAUUAAAAUGUUUGAGAAUUAAUUAUAUAAAAGCUGUCAAAAUGAAAAUUCUUAUGUUUUAAGAAUGCGACAUAUUUCCUAUUAUUAAGACAUAUCUCAAAUCUCUUUUCUGGAAAGAGUUUUGUGCACUUGAAUCAGUGUACUGUUUUCUUUUCUUAUUCAAAUGCAUAUUUCUACAAAAGUGGUGUUAACACUUUAUAUAUUAAGCAAUUUUCACCAGAAAGCUGACAGAAGCAUGAGACAACAUAUUAUCUAUUAAGAUAUUGAUCUGUUAGAGAAUUCUAGAUUGCUAUUCCUAAAAUAUUUAACUGAAUAGAACCUUUUUCACAUACUAUAAAGAUGUUUACAAUGAUAUACUUGGACUCUAUUCAAAUGUGAUAUCACACACAGAGUUUCUGAUCAAUGUUUUUAAGGGGCAGUACCACACCAUACAACCUAUUAGUUAUUAUACCUUAAAAGUCUAUACAUGGUGCAAAAAAAAUCAAAAAAUCAAACGUUACUCUUUUGCCUCUGUGGUUGUCUUUCUUUUUUCCAAUUUGUCUUUUAAUUCUCUCAUAAUCACACCCAUUCUGUACCGUAACACAAAGACUGUAGUAUAGUCUGGCAGAUCUCAUUUGAAUCUUUACUUUCUCCUACUUACCACAGGCAAUGACAUUGACACCACAUUAAGAGUUUUUACUCUUUGUGUGUUGGGUUUUUGUUUGUGUGUUGGGUUUUUGAUUUGUUUGUCUCUUUAUCCAUUCCCAGUAGGCAGAUUGAGUUGGAAUAUAAUUAAUGUCAUAAUAUUUAACAACAGAGGGCAGUUUUAAAUUGGUUCCUUAAAAGAGGGGUGCCUCACCCCCCCACCCCCCACACAAUGCAGUGUUCCUAAAGAGCCGCCUUACUAAAGUCUCACAGAAUUUAAGUAAGUCUCAACUGCGGGAGAAGAGUAAGCAAUUGUACCCUGACUUACUUAAGCUUCUGAUGCUGGUGGGCCAGUCACGUCUUCUGACAGGAAAUAAAAAAAAAAAAAAGAAACCCAGAGACAGCCGAAGUGAUACUUGUGUACUUACCUUGGACCUGACUGGCCAUUUACCAUGAAUGGAGGAACCUGGUCUUUACUACACGGCAGAGUUAGGUUCCUAGGCAAAGGCUGAAGUAGAACCCUGCAUUCUCUCCCAGCCCUUCUCAUCAACCUCCCAUUGCAUCUUACCAAGAGGAGCCCCAUGUGCCUAUGUUGAGCCUCUCCCUAUAUACUGCCUCCGCUACAAACAGAUACAACUUUGGCCCUCCUCUAACCAAGAAAGAAUUGAAAACAUUUCACUAGCCUACUCUUGGGGAAAGAGACAGUGGGGAAGAAGCCCAUGUAUGCUCUAGAACUGGAACUGGGUAAUUAUCCAUCUAAUUAGGAAUUUCCAAGGUCCCAUGCAUCUGGAACAUGAUGUAUAGGUGGGGCUAGCUCUAAUGGGGACAUCUCCUUAGCCUCAUGGAUUUCACAUCCCAUGGAGAAGGACAUUGCCACAGUGGGGGUCAUAGUAGAGAAUUUAAAACUCAAGUGCUACGUUUAAAGGCCAUACUACUCAUGCUGCAAGAAAGAAAAAAUAACUUGUGUGUAUGUGUGUGUGUUAAGUAGCAAUAACUGCUUUAAAAUAAAAAUAGUAAUCCAAAAGUGGUAGGUAAUUCAUCAUUUUUGGCACAAGACUUUCCUAAAAACAGACCCUGAGACAAAAAUUUUGGGCAAAUAACUGAUUAAAUGAUUGCACUUAGGAGAAAUUGGUAAAGAAGCAGAAGAAGAAAGAAAGAGACCAACAAUAAUGUGACUUUAGGUGAAAUCGUGCUCUUUGCCUAGUUGUAUAGGGAGCUCUGGAGCAUAAAUUCCAUCAUAGAUUUUGUUGUGCCUUGUGGCAGGGAGCUGGGAUUUCAUGACCCUUCACCAGUUAGCUUUUGGCAAUGGGCUAUCCUAGAGCCUAGCAGACACAUACACCUCUUUAGGAAAAACUGCCAUAGUAGUCCCAGCAUAAUUUCUUUUAGAAUCUCCAUAAAAGCUAGAAAAUGGGCCUGUGAAGGAAGCCUGGAGAUCUGGGAGGAGCAUAGAACACAGCUCUAUAGAAGUGAAGCCAGGAUGCAGUUGACAAAUGAGAUUACAGUAAAAAGAUGAGGUUCAGAUGAGAUUUAAAUGACUGUGUCCAUCCUCAUCACCAUUGUCAUCAUUAUUGUCAUCAGACUUGGUGGAAGCAAAUGAAGAAUUCUGAAAAAUAUAAUUAUUUAACCUUUUGACUUUUUUUUUUUUUUUGAGACAGAGUCUCACUCUGUCACCCAGUCUAAAGUACAGUGGCACAGUCUCAGCUCACUGCAACCUCUGCCUCCCAGGUUCAAGCAAUUCUUCUGCCUCAGCCUCCCGAGUAGCUGGAACUACAGGAGUGCAUCACCACGCCUGGCAAAUUUUUGUAUUUUUAGUAGAGACGGGAUGUCACCAUAUUGGCCAGGCUGGUCUGGAACUCCUGAACUCAUGAUCUGCCCUCUUCGGUCUCUCAAAGUUCUGGGAUUACAGGCGUGAGCCACCAUGCCCAGCUUGACUCUUUUAUAAUAACACUUAGCUUAAAACAGAAACACAUUGCAGAGCUGUACAAAAAUAUUUUCUUUCAUUAUAUUCUUAUUCUAUAAGCCUUUAUCUAUUUUGUUAUUUUAACUUUUUAAGCUUUUUUUUGUUAAAAACUAAGAUACAAACACACAUAUUAGCCGAGGCUUACACAGUAUCAGGAUCCUCAAUAUUACUAUCUUCAACUUCCACAUCUUCUCCCACUAGAAGUUCUUCAGGGGCAAUAACAGGCAUGGAACUGUCAUCUCCUAUGAUAGCAAUGCCUUCUUCUGGAAUACCUCCUGAAGGACCUGCCUCAGGCUGUUUCAUAGUUCAUUUAUAUUUUAAUAAGUAGAAGGAGCACACUCUAAAUUAACGAUAAAAACACAGCAUAGUAAAUAUUAGGCGAUGGGAAUUUUUUAGCUCCAUUGUAGUCUUAUGGGACCACCAUUCUAUAUGCCAUCCAUCAUUGACCAGAAUGGUGUUACGCAGCUUAUGGCUGUAUUUUCUAUGGCCCUUUACUUUUUAGAUAUAUUUAGUCAAAAAAGAAAAGCAGCAGAUAGGAGAGAAGUUUAUACAAAACAUAACACCAAUUGUAGAAUCUUCAAUGACAGUUUAAAAUGCCUUAGCAAGGUGAAAACAAUAUAAUAAACACAGUAUCUUCUGAACUAAUAAAAUUGGAACUGAGAAAGCAAAUUAAUGCACAGUAAUGAAAUUAAAAUGGGGCAUACUUAAACUUAAAAAUAGACUCUGCUCUUUUAGUACUAAAAACAAUACUUAUUUAUAAUUACUGCCUAAUUCAUGUGUCACCAAUUUUAAGGCCAUUUUUAAUGUAUUUCUAUCCUUACGGGAUAUACACUUUUUUGGCGUCUAUGGUCACUAAGUCCAGAUCCUCCAAAGUCCAUUCAAAAGAAAUGAAGAUUCCUUUGUUUAAAUUCUAUUUUUAGUUUAGAUUCAGGGAGUACAUGUGCUUGUUUGUUAUAUGAGAGUAUUACAUGUGUAAUAGUGGAGGCUGGGUUUCUAGUGUACUCAUCACCCAGAUAUUGGACAUUGUACCCAGAGGUGAUUUUUCAACUCCCCUACCCUACACCCUUUAGAGUCCUGAGAGUCUAUUUUCCUUAUCUUUAUGUCCAUAUGUACCCUUUGUUUAGUUCCACUUAUAAGUGAGAAUAUGUGAUAUUUGAUUUUCUGCUUCUGUAUUAGUUUACUUAUAAUAAUGGCCCCCUGCUCCACCCAUGUUUCUGAAAAGGAUAUGAUUUUAUUCUUUUUUAUGGCUGCGUAGUGUUCCAUCAUGUAUAUAUAACAUAUUUUCUUUAUCCAAUCAACUUUUUGCAGACACUUAGGUUGGUUCCAUGAGUUUGCUAUUGUGAAUAGUGUAAUAACAUAUGAAUGCCGGUAUCUUUUUAAUAUAACACCUUUUUUUUUUUUUACCUUUGGAUAGAUACCCAGUAAUGAAAUUACUGGGUCAAAUGUAUUAGUUCUAUUUUUAGCUCUCAGAAAUAUCUCCAUACUGUUUUCCAUAGAGUUUGAUCUAAGUUAUAUUCCCACUGACAGUGUAUGAUUGCUCUCUCUUCUCCACAUCCAUGUCAACAUCUUGUUUUUUGACUUUUUAAUAAAAACCAUUCUGACUGGUGUAAGAUGGUAUCUCAGUGUGGUUUU